rnacentral:rRNA from 1 species
GAUGAACGCUGACAGAAUGCUUAACACAUGCAAGUCAACUUGAACUUCGGUUUGGGUGGCGGACGGGUGAGUAACGCGUACAGAACUUGCCUCACAGCUAGGGACAACAUUUGGAAACGAAUGCUAAUACCUGAUAUUAUGAUUAUAUGGCAUCGUAUAAUUAUGAAAGCUAUAUGCGCUGUGAGAGAGCUUUGCGUCCCAUUAGCUAGUUGGAGAGGUAACAGCUCACCAAGGCGAUGAUGGGUAGCCGGCCUGAGAGGGUGAUCGGCCACAAGGGGACUGAGACACGGCCCUUACUCCUACGGGAGGCAGCAGUGGAGAAUAUUGGACAAUGGACCGAGAGUCUGAUCCAGCAAUUCUGUGAGCACGAUGAAGUUUUUCGGAAUGUAAAGUGCUUUCAGUUGGGAAGAAAAAAAUGACGGUACCAACAGAAGAAGUGACGGCUAAAUACGUG